rnacentral:pre_miRNA from 1 species
AAAAAGACAAAUCCUAAGUUUUUUUUUGUCAACGUUUGACUGUCCGUUUUAUAUGAAAUUUUUUUAUAAUUAGUAUUUUCAUUGUUGUUAGAUGAUAAAACAUGAUUAAUACUUUAUGCGUUGUUAGAUGAUAAAACAUGAUUAAUACUUUAUGCGUGACUUAUCUUUUUAAUUUUUUUAAUAUUUUUUCAAAUAAGAUGGACGGUUAAACGUUGUACACGGAAACCAGGGUU